AUUGAACGCUGGCGGCAGGCCUAACACAUGCAAGUCGAGCGAGCGGCGGACGGGUGAGUACUGUCUGGGAAACUGCCUGAUGGCUGGGGAUAACUACUGGAUACGGUAGCUAAUACCGCAUACCAUCAGAUGUGCCCAGAUGGGAUUAGCUAGUCGGUGGGGUAAUGGCUCACCUAGGCGACGAUCCCUAGCUGGUCUGAGAGGAUGAUCAGCCACACUGGAACUGAGACACGGUCCAGACUCCUACGGGAGGCAGCAGUGGGGAAUAUUGCACAAUGGGCGCAAGCCUGAUGCAGCCAUGCCGCGUGUAUGAAGAAGGCCUUCGGGUUGUAAAGUACUUUCAGCGGGGAGGCGUUACCCGAAGAAGAAGCACCGGCUAACUCCGUGCCAGCAGCCGCGGUAAUUC
rnacentral:rRNA from 1 species